GUGUCAGCCGCCGCGGUAAGACAGAGGGGGCAAGCGUUGCUCGGAAUCACUGGGCGUAAAGGGCGCGUAGGCGGGGCAGUAAGUCGGUCGUGAAAUCUGCGGGCUCAACCCGGAGGGGCCGGCCGAGACUGCUGCUCUUGAGGGGUGCAGAGGAGUCUGGAAUUCCCGGUGUAGCGGUGAAAUGUGUAGAGAUCGGGAGGAACACCGGUGGCGAAGGCGGGGCUCUGGGCACACCCUGACGCUGAGGCGCGAAAGCGUGGGGAGCAAACGGGAUUAGAUACCCGCGUAGUCC
rnacentral:rRNA from 1 species